rnacentral:rRNA from 1 species
GUAGUCUCGCACAGAUGCAUAUCAAUAAGCGGAGGAAAAGAAACUAACAAGGAUUCCCUCAGUAACGGCGAGUGAAGCGGGAAGAGCUCAAAUUUGAAAUCUUGAAAGGUCACCUUUCACGAAUUGUAGUUUAAAGAAGUGUUUUCUGUUACGAUCGUAAUAUAAGUUCUUUGGAAUAGGACAUCACAGAGGGUGAGAAUCCCGUCUAUGAUUGCGAUUUGUAGCUUUGUGAUACACUUUCAAAGAGUCGGGUUGUUUGGGAAUGCAGCCCAAAACGGGAGGUAAAUUUCUUCUAAGGCUAAAUAUUGGCGAGAGACCGAUAGCGAACAAGUACCGUGAGGGAAAGAUGAAAAGAACUUUGAAAAGAGAGUUAAAUAGUACGUGAAAUUGUCAAAAGGGAAGCGUUUGACACCAGUGUUGUUUUCUCGAAAAUCAAUUAAAAAUGAGCUCGAUUUUGUAUUGUGUAUGACCUUAAAAGCUGCACUUUACAAUUUUCUUGUCUUUUUUAAUGCACUUUUCGUUUAACAAGUCAACAUCAGUUUCUUUUGUUGUAAAAGGGUCAUUGGAAGGUGGCUUUCUUUUCGGAGAAAGUGUUUAUAGCCUUUGCCUCUGCAAUCGGAGAGACUGAGGUCUGCAGCGUAGACUCUUCGGGGUUAGAUACAUUUGUGCUAAGUUAUAGCUUUUUAUAGACAACUUGUUGACUAUGAUUAGUCUUGUAGCUUACUCGCUUAUGCUAUUUUACCUACGCUUAGGAUGUUGAAGAUGUAGCACAUCAU